rnacentral:rRNA from 1 species
AAUGAACGCUGGCGGCGUGUUUAAGACAUGCAAGUCGCACGGAGGAAUGUGAGUAGCAAUACAAGCAUUCUUCAGUGGCGCACGGGUGCGUAACACGUGAGUUACAUGCCCUGCAGAGGGGGAUAGCCCAGGGAAACUUGGAUUAAUACCCCAUGGUCUCGCAAGAGUAAAGGUGGCGUAAGCUGCCGCUGCAGGAUUGGCUCGCGGCCUAUCAGCUAGUUGGUGAGGUAACGGCUCACCAAGGCUACGACGGGUACCUGGUCUGAGAGGACGAUCAGGCACACUGGAACUGAGACACGGUCCAGACACCUACGGGUGGCAGCAGUCGAGAAUCAUUCACAAUGGGGGCAACCCUGAUGGUGCAACGCCGCGUGGAGGAUGAAGGUCUUCGGAUUGUAAACUCCUGUCAUCUAGGAGCAAGGCAUGGUGGUGAAUAGCCAACAUGAUUGAUAGUACUAGAAGA